UUAGUUAAAGCCAAAAAGAGGCAUAUCACUGUUAAUGAUAUCAUUGAAAAUUAAUUCUAACUAAA
rnacentral:tRNA from 1 species